UACGGAGGGUGCAAGCGUUGUCCGGAUUUAUUGGGUUUAAAGGGUGCGUAGGCGGGAGAUUAAGUCAGGGGUGAAAGACGAUUGCUCAACGAUCGCAGUGCCUUUGAUACUGAUUUUCUUGAGUGCAGAUGAGGAUAGCGGAAUGGGUGGUGUAGCGGUGAAAUGCAUAGAUACCAUCCAGAACACCGAUUGCGAAGGCAGCUAUCUAAACUGCAACUGACGCUGAGGCACGAAAGCGUGGGGAUCCAACAGG
rnacentral:rRNA from 1 species